rnacentral:rRNA from 1 species
AGAGUUUGAUCCUGGCUCAGAUUGAACGCUGGCGGCAUGCCUUACACAUGCAAGUCGAACGGCAGCACGGAGCUUGCUCUGGUGGCGAGUGGCGAACGGGUGAGUAAUAUAUCGGAACGUACCCUAGAGUGGGGGAUAACGUAGCGAAAGUUACGCUAAUACCGCAUACGAUCUAAGGAUGAAAGUGGGGGAUCGCAAGACCUCAUGCUCGUGGAGCGGCCGAUAUCUGAUUAGCUAGUUGGUAGGGUAAAAGCCUACCAAGGCAUCGAUCAGUAGCUGGUCUGAGAGGACGACCAGCCACACUGGAACUGAGACACGGUCCAGACUCCUACGGGAGGCAGCAGUGGGGAAUUUUGGACAAUGGGCGAAAGCCUGAUCCAGCAAUGCCGCGUGAGUGAAGAAGGCCUUCGGGUUGUAAAGCUCUUUUGUCAGGGAAGAAACGGUGAGAGCUAAUAUCUCUUGCUAAUGACGGUACCUGAAGAAUAAGCACCGGCUAACUACGUGCCAGCAGCCGCGGUAAUACGUAGGGUGCAAGCGUUAAUCGGAAUUACUGGGCGUAAAGCGUGCGCAGGCGGUUUUGUAAGUCUGAUGUGAAAUCCCCGGGCUCAACCUGGGAAUUGCAUUGGAGACUGCAAGGCUAGAAUCUGGCAGAGGGGGGUAGAAUUCCACGUGUAGCAGUGAAAUGCGUAGAUAUGUGGAGGAACACCGAUGGCGAAAGCAGCCCCCUGGGUCAAGAUUGACGCUCAUGCACGAAAGCGUGGGGAGCAAACAGGAUUAGAUACCCUGGUAGUCCACGCCCUAAACGAUGUCUACUAGUUGUCGGGUCUUAAUUGACUUGGUAACGCAGCUAACGCGUGAAGUAGACCGCCUGGGGAGUACGGUCGCAAGAUUAAAACUCAAAGGAAUUGAC